GUUUGGCUCUUCUCUGAUUUUUAUCAUGUGGAAAAAAUGAUUGCUUUGGCGACACGUUUACAUUUUCUCAUUGGCUAUUUAAUGGAAACAAUGAGCAGUAAAUUAAAAUCUAAAUAGUUGUAGGAGUCAGGUAAAGUUGUGUGUCUAUACUGUGGGCUUGACCUUUCUUCUGCUGCCAUUCAUGAGUGUGUCAUGGGAGAUUAGAGUUUUGUAGAAAGAGAGAGAGAAAGAAAGCACGUGCUCGCUGAACUGCUCUAUUUGUUUCUGGGCAUAAAGCCAAGCGUUCUGACUCUCUACACCUUGGCCUUGAGAGGGGCCACCGGCUCUUUAAAAUACGCCAUUGUCAAGUGUCUCCAGUGUAUCUUCAUGGACUACUGUGCUUUCAUUCUGUUUGACCUCUGGUGUUCAGUGACUGACCCUGUGCUGUGCAGGCACUCACCCCUGGAGAGAUACAAUGCCUUGGCUGAAUUUCCCUUCAUCCGUCCAAUGGAGACCUGACCGGGCCGAACAAAAGCCACCUCGCUGAACUGAACUCGAGCGCUCGCAACAGAGAAUACAGAACAUGGCAUCUUUAAAAGAGCUUGUCUACAUCAAGUCCCCUAAUUGACACAGGGGUGAAAAGAACUGCCUAAUUGCAUGAUUUAGACUCACAAUACGCCCUGACAGAUGACACUAAUCACAGCGGGAAUUAUUAAGCCAUGUUUCUUGCUUAGACAGCAAAUGAGACACUAUAAAAGGUCACACAUAUUGGUCUUAUGAUACGAAUGCAGAAUGUGGUUAAAAUGGUGCAUACGCAGCAGGGGUCAUGUGUGUGAGUGUAUACUUACUCAUUAAAAUGCAUUCAGCACAGCUCAGCGUCGCAGAGUCAAUAUUAAACUAUGUUUAAUGCGGUCCUUUGCACCUGCGAUGUCCCAAAAAGACUAUAAUUACACACAACUAACAAAGAUUGAUUGGACAUAAGUAUGAUUGUUAGUAUAAAGACAAUCACUGAAAGUAUUUUAUUUUAUUUUUGCUAAUGGUUAGCAAGUUGUAACUGAGUGCCAGGCGUUUUUUUUUUUUUUUUCUAAAUAUGUAAGCGUACAACUAAAAUCAAGUAGUCAAACAUACAGCUUGUAAGCUGUUUGUUCGUUUCAGCAGCGGUUGUCGAGUUGACUGUGGUGUGUUGGUUGGUGUGGGUUUUGGUUGUUUUUGUGUUCAGUGGUGGAAAGUCAGAUUGUGACUUUUUUAUGUUUGUUGGGAUCACCUGAUUUUUUUUUUUACUUAGUAAUAUAUUAUAUUAAUCAAGAUUAAUAAUGAAAGAUCGAUAUUUUUUAGAGAGAGUUUGUUUU
ensembl:lncRNA